CUCACAAUCAAGGACAAAUUCCUGAAUGCAACAUUUGCUUUUCCGUCUUCCCGCUUCACCUUACUCAUCCCUGCAGAAGUAUAAGUAUUCCUCGCUUCUUCAACUCCAUGCCUAAGAAUUAAGAACCUUGGGGAGAAGGGUACUGCAUCGACUACUGCAUCUCAAUCAUUGUGGCAGACGUACCACAGCACUGGGAAGUUGGCCUUGGCAAGAAUCUCAAGCUGUUACUACAGAGUUGGGAAGAAGGUUUAGGAUCAAGAUAGAGGUGACUGACCAAGUGUUGAGGAUUCUCUGGGGAGAAGACUCACCGUGAAGACCUUCUCAGGCUGACCCCGGGCUCUCAUGUUGGUGUCAUGAAUUAACUUCAGAAUCAUCCAAGCUUCAUCAUGUUUUCCAACCUAAGAAAUGAGAGUGGACAAUGAAGCGCUAGGAGUGACACACUUACCCUUCCUGAUUUUCCAAUAGCCGUCUUGCAUUGUCAGAUCAAAUGAGGUGUAAUUGUGCAAAUGUAUCUCGGUACAUCCCAUUGGAACAUACAGACUAUUUGGAUAUCACUGAAUACAUGAGCAGUUCAAAUAAUAUGGUUAUAACUAGAAAUAGUAUCUCCAGAUGGUAAAAUUUCGCUAUAAAACAAUAA
rnacentral:lncRNA from 1 species